UGUAGUAAACUUACGUAUACAAUUAGUAUGAUAAUCAAACUUUGCACGAACAUAAUUCAAAACUGUAGUAAACUUACGUAUACAAUUAGUAUGAUAAUCAAACUUUGCACAAACAUUUAAAAGGCUCAGAUAUGUUGCAAUGGAACUUGAAUUGCUGAAAUCUGCCAUGGCUGCAAUCACAGUUGCAACCGGAUAUUACCCCGCCAAGAUACGCUCUGUUUCAACCUUCGUUUGAUCCAUUCAGACAAUGACAAAUUUAUCAUCAUCGCCUCUAAACAUUGUUGUUUCUUCCUCAUAAUGUAGCCUCUACGGUUCAUUUACGUUUCAUGAUGAAUAUGAUCUACAUUAGACUGGGACUAUAGGUGACAAAAAACCUAUACCUAGACCCGAGGAAAAAACUCAGAACCGGUUAUUUUUUUAUCCGGGUUUUCUAUACCCGUAACCGAACCCUAUCCGACCCCUAGGUAGGAUAAGAGUAUAUAUUUUGAUAUCAAUACUCGUAUCCGAAACCGAACCCGUUUUAUACUGGAAAAUACCCAAUACCGGUUUUUUUAAUACUCAAUAGAAUACCUAAAAAGUACAUUUUUAUAUUUACUUCACAAUUUUUUUAUUAAAGAUUUUUUAAAAUGCAUAUUAUAAAGCAAAUAAUUUAUACUUUAAGACUUUAAGGCUGCACCGGGUCCCGAGUCCAUUCCCAAGCUCAAAGGCUUUAUACAUGCCCUAUCCAUUGUCAUUAUGCGAAAAUUAAUCAAGAUGAUUGGUGGAGCUAAAACUUAAAAAAAUAUAAACCAAGUAAUGCCAAACUCUAGAUUUAGACGUCGGAAAAAUUAGUAAAAUUACGUAUGAUUUUUUUUAGACAGCCUUGUUAUUGAAAACCAUGCGAAAAAAGCUACGGCAGGUAGCUGAAUCAAAACAAAAUUCAAAGAAAAAAAAAAGCAAAAAACAAAUACAGAACUUAACUGGACACCAAACUGUAGUUUAGAAAAUUGCCGAAGCCAAGCUGCAACACCCGGACCAAUAUAAAUUUAAACACCUUGAUCCACACUUGCACCAAUCAGACCAAACUGUAGUAAAAUAAUGUAUACAAUUAGCAGGUCAAUCAAACACUCGACAAUCGUAAUUCAAAAGGACAUGCUUUCUAAAAACCAAUUAAUUAACAUCCACACAUAGUUAUUAAAGGCGCGAAGCGCACUCUAGGCACAUAGGCUCCGAUUAGGGCCUAGGCAAUAGGCGCAAAAAAAGCGUGGGCCCGAGAAAAAAAAAACGCACUUAAAUAAAAAAAAUUAAAAACUUCAUUAAGGAAAUAAAGUACUCAAAACCAAAACAAUAAUGUUCAUACUAGCACUUAAAAAGUCUCAGAUAACAAAAUACUUAAAACCAAAAUGUUCAUUAUCAUCUAAUUAGUACCAAAAAUUCUAAAGAGGAGUGUGUUAGUGUAGAAAAGUAGUACUAAAUAAACAUUUUUUUAUUUUAUAAAACUACAAAAGAUUUCUACAUAUUAAUUUAAAUUUUAAUGGCAUAUAAUAAAUUUUUGUUCAGAUGUAACUAGAUAAAUAUAAAUUACAGGAUCCGGUUUUUAAUAUUUUUUGGAGAUUAAAAAGUUUAAUAGUUUGCUAGAAUUGUUUGUUUUGAGGUGUUAUAAAGAGGAGAAUAUGAAAAUUUGUCAUUAAAAAAAGACCUUAAUUAGUAUUAACUGCAAGAAUUUGUCAUUAAAAAAAGACCUUAAUUAGUAUUAAUUGCACAUUAAAAAGUAUCAUUAAAUUUGUUUAUGUUGAGGCCGAGAAAAAUACGAAGCAUUUAUCAUUAAAUAACAAAAUUCCCUAAUUAAUAUCAACUGCCCUAAUUAAUCGCUUUAAUUACCUUGGUAACAGAAGCGCAUUAAAUGCGCUUCGCCCUAAAAUCUCGCCUAGGCGCAAAAAGCGCUCGCUUUUAAUAACUAUGCAUCCACAUGAUAAAAUAUAAUUUUGCGGCUGUUGGGAAUCAAAGGCUCAGAUAUGUUGCAAUGGAGCUUGUUUGGCCCGAAUCUGUCAUGGCUGCAAUCGCAGUUGCAAGUGAAUAUCAACCUCCACAGACAACAAUUGUCUUUUAAAACUGGUUUGGGUUUAAUCCGGUUUUAACUUUGUUGACCAAAUUUAGAACCAGUUUUAAGCCCAAUCCAGUUUAAUAAAUUAACCCAGUUUGUGCACCUCUAAAAUAUUGCCAAGCCAAGAUACAGAUAGGAUCCACAAACUCCGAUUUUGCUCGCUACAUUAUAUCAUCACAGCCUCCUACUUUCAAACAAUUAAAAGCAGAAAAAAAGUAAAGCAAACGGAGACAACUCAUAAAUGAUCAGAAGAUCAUAUGGCAAAAGGGAGGUUAUUAUAAGAAACCCUCACACUCUCAACGGAACCUCAUUCACUUGAUCAAAACACAAUAUACCAAACGCCUCAUAUUUGUUAACAAUCAUAAGUUGUCGAAAUCCAUACAUACUGAAUUGCCUAACAUAAUGCAACAACAGCAGCAGCAGCAACGUCAUCAUCAUCUCCAUUCCAUAAAUAGAGAGAGAGUAGUUUAUUCAAACAUAUUAUCAGUUGAUCAAAUUCACUAACAUGAACUCACCUUUUAGCCUAUUUCAUUUAGGGUUUGUUUUUUACGUGCCAUCAAUUACAACCUACUCAUUCUUAAUAUCUAACUAUAUUGUUAAUUACUAAACUGUAAAACAAAUUUAUUUAGAAGUCAAAACCCCAAAUCUAAAAAAGCUAUUGAAAACCAUGCGAAAAAAGCUACGGCAGGAAGCUGAAGCAAACUCUGAUUAAUAAAAAAACCUAGUUUGCGCACCUCUAAUAUAUUGCCCAGCCAAGAUACAGAUCGGAUCCACAAACUCCAAUUUGCUCACUACAUUUUAUGAUCACAGCCUCAAUUCACUUGAUCAAAACACAAUAUAACAAACACCUCAGAUUUGUUAGAAUCCUAAAUCAUACUUAAAAUCUAACUAAACUGUAACAGUUUUUAUUA
rnacentral:lncRNA from 1 species